CAGUAGCCGCGGUAAUACGUAGGUGGCAAGCGUUGUCCGGAAUUAUUGGGCGUAAAGCGCGCGCAGGCGGCCUAUCCAGUCUGUCUUAAAAGUUCGGGGCUCAACCCCGUGAUGGGAUGGAAACUAGUAGGCUAGAGUAUCGGAGAGGAAAGCGGAAUUCCUAGUGUAGCGGUGAAAUGCGUAGAUAUUAGGAAGAACACCAGUGGCGAAGGCGGCUUUCUGGACGAAAACUGACGCUGAGGCGCGAAAGCCAGGGGAGCGAACGGGACUAGAUACCCGCGUAGUCCCUGUCUCUUAUACC
rnacentral:rRNA from 1 species